rnacentral:rRNA from 1 species
AGAGUUUGAUCAUGGCUCAGGAUGAACGCUGGCGGCGUGCCUAACACAUGCAAGUCGAGCGAAGCGAUUCGGAUGAAUUUUUUGGAUGGAUUUUGGAUUGACUGAGCGGCGGACGGGUGAGUAACGCGUGGGUAACCUGCCUCAUACAGGGGGAUAACAGUUAGAAAUGACUGCUAAUACCGCAUAAGCGCACAGUACCGCAUGGUACGGUGUGAAAAACUCCGCGG